CUCACCUCUGCUUGGCUGGUGCCACGCUCAGGUUAAGACUUAAUCUCAACACUUACACAGCGUUUGGCAACAUAUCAGACACUGACAGACGCCUGAGCCUGUUUCGAAGUGACACUAUGUCACAGCUCCUCAGCUGGCAAGAGAAUCUUACGCCCACAUAUGGGGUAUUUCUGUGCCCCAUAGUCUGGAGAAGGAGGACAGAGGAGUCUGGAGGAGGAAGACUGAGAGGUCUGAAGGAAGACAGUGUGUGACAGUUUUAUUAUUACAGAGGAUGAGGAUUCGCUGAUAAAUUAAGGAACCAAUGACGUCCGGCUGUCAGACUCUGCAGAGUGCAAGAUGUAGCUGGAAGAAGUCCUGGUGUCUGAACCAGAUGAAGAAGAAAAGGAAAGCCAACAGAGCAGACAUCACUAAGAUCACUGA